CCUACGGGAGGCAGCAGUAGGGAAUCUUCCGCAAUGGACGAAAGUCUGACGGAGCAACGCCGCGUGAACGAUGAAGGCCUUCGGGUCGUAAAGUUCUGUUGUUAGGGAAGAACAAGUGCUAGUUGAAUAAGCUGGCACCUUGACGGUACCUAACCAGAAAGCCACGGCUAACUACGUGCCAGCAGCCGCGGUAAUACGUAGGUGGCAAGCGUUGUCCGGAAUUAUUGGGCGUAAAGCGCGCGCAGGCGGUUUCUUAAGUCUGAUGUGAAAGCCCCCGGCUCAACCGGGGAGGGUCAUUGGAAACUGGGAAACUUGAGUGCAGAAGAGGAAAGUGGAAUUCCAAGUGUAGCGGUGAAAUGCGUAGAGAUUUGGAGGAACACCAGUGGCGAAGGCGACUUUCUGGUCUGUAACUGACGCUGAGGCGCGAAAGCGUGGGGAGCAAACAGGAUUAGAUACCCUGGUAGUCCACGCUGUAAACGAUGAGUGCUAAGUGUUAGAGGGUUUCCGCCCUUUAGUGCUGAAGUUAACGCAUUAAGCACUCCGCCUGGGGAUACGGUCGCAAGACUGAAACUCAAAAGGAAUUGACGG
rnacentral:rRNA from 1 species